GACGAACCGUGCGAACGUUAUUCGGAAUCACUGGGCUUAAAGGGAGCGUAGGCGGGCUAUCAAGUCUGGGGUGAAAUCCCACGGCUCAACCGUGGGAACUGCCUUAGAUACUGACGGCCUCGAGGGAGAUAGGGGCAUGCGGAACUGUAGGUGGAGCGGUGAAAUGCGUUGAUAUCUACAGGAACUCCGGUGGCGAAAGCGGCGUGCUGGAUCUCUUCUGACGCUGAGGCUCGAAAGCUAGGGGAGCAAACGGG
rnacentral:rRNA from 1 species